rnacentral:rRNA from 1 species
AUUGAACGCUGGCGGCAGGCCUAACACAUGCAAGUCGAGCGAGCGGAGGACGGGUGAGUAAUGUCUGGGAAACUGACUGCUGGAGGGGGAUAACUACUGGAAACGGUAGCUAAUACCGCAUACCAUCAGAUGUGCCCAGAUGGGAUUAGCUAGUAGGUGGGGUAACGGCUUACCUAGGCGACGAUCCCUAGCUGGUCUGAGAGGAUGACCAGCCACACUGGAACUGAGACACGGCCCAGACUCCUACGGGAGGCAGCAGUGGGGAAUAUGGCACAAUGGGCGCAAGCCUGAUGCAGCCAUGCCGCGUGUGUGAAGAAGGCCUGCGGGUUGUAAAGCACUUUCAGCGUGGAGGCGUUACCCGCAGAAGAAGCACCGGCUAACUCCGUGCCAGCAGCCGCGGUAAUAC